CGGAGGGAUCAUUACCGAGUUUACAACUCCCAAACCCAAUGUGAACGUUACCAAACUGUUGCCUCGGCGGGGUCACGCCCCGGGUGCGUCGCAGCCCCGGAACCAGGCGCCCGCCGGAGGAACCAACCAAACUCUUUCUGUAGUCCCCUCGCGGACGUAUUUCUUUACAGCUCUGAGCAAAAAUUCAAAAUGAAUCAAAACUUUCAACAACGGAUCUCUUGGUUCUGGCAUCGAUGAAGAACGCAGCGAAAUGCGAUAAGUAAUGUGAAUUGCAGAAUUCAGUGAAUCAUCGAAUCUUUGAACGCACAUUGCGCCCGCCAGUAUUCUGGCGGGCAUGCCUGUCCGAGCGUCAUUUCAACCCUCGAACCCCUCCGGGGGAUCGGCGUUGGGGAUCGGGACCCCUCACACGGGUGCCGGCCCCUAAAUACAGUGGCGGUCUCGCCGCAGCCUCUCCUGCGCAGUAGUUUGCACAACUCGCACCGGGAGCGCGGCGCGUCCACGUCCGUAAAACACCCAACUUUCUGAAAUGUUGACCUCGGAUCAGGUAGGAAUACCCGCUGAACUUAAGCAUAUCAAUA
rnacentral:rRNA from 1 species